rnacentral:rRNA from 1 species
AUUGAACGCUGGCGGCAGGCUUAACACAUGCAAGUCGAACGAGUGGCGGACGGGUGAGUAAUGCCUGGGAAUCUACCUGAUGGAGGGGGAUAACUAUUGGAAACUGUAGCUAAUACCGCGUACCAUAGGAUGAGCCCAAGUGGGAUUAGCUAGUUGGUGGGGUAAAGGCUCACCAAGCCGACGAUCCCUAGCUGGUCUGAGAGGAUGACCAGCCACACUGGAACUGAGACACGGCCCAGACUCCUACGGGAGGCAGCAGUGGGGAAUAUUGCACAAUGGGGGCAACCUGACGCAGCCAUGCCGCGUGAAUGAAGAAGGCCUUCGGGUUGUAAAGUUCUUUCGGUAGCGAGGCGUUAACUACAGAAGAAGCACCGGCUAACUCCGUGCCAGCAGCCGCGGUAAUAC